GAUGAACGCUGGCGGCGUGCUUAACACAUGCAAGUCGAACGGUGAAGCAGGAGCUUGCUCCUGUGGAUCAGUGGCGAACGGGUGAGUAACACGUGAGCAAUCUGCCCUGGACUCUGGGAUAAGCGUUGGAAACGACGUCUAAUACCGGAUACGAGGCGCGGGGGCAUCCCCAGCGCCUGGAAAGAACUUCGGUCCAGGAUGAGCUCGCGGCCUAUCAGGUAGUUGGUGAGGUAACGGCUCACCAAGCCUACGACGGGUAGCCGGCCUGAGAGGGUGACCGGCCACACUGGGACUGAGACACGGCCCAGACUCCUACGGGAGGCAGCAGUGGGGAAUAUUGCACAAUGGGCGCAAGCCUGAUGCAGCAACGUCGCGUGAGGGACGACGGCCUUCGGGUUGUAAACCUCUUUUAGCAGGGAAGAAGCGAAAGUGACGGUACCUGCAGAAAAAGCACCGGCUAACUACGUGCCAGCCGCCGCCGUAAAAC
rnacentral:rRNA from 1 species